GAGGUGGCAGAACCAAAUGCGGUUCUGGCUCACCACAUUAGGGUUAAUCUCAGCCAUAGGUGAAAGUACGACCGAAGUUGAUAACGGGUCCAACCCAACUACCUCUUCCAACACUGAACAUUCUGCCUCCACUAGGGCUGCAAAUGGGUUGGGUCGACCCGUGACCCGACCCGACCCAACCCGCUUAAGACCCGACCCGACCCGCAUUUUAGGACCCGCGGGG
rnacentral:lncRNA from 1 species